CCUGGGACUUGCGUCCCAGGCUCAUGCAUUUCGUCGCUUUGCGACU
rnacentral:sRNA from 1 species